GAGACACGGCCCAGACUCCUACGGGAGGCAGCAGUGGGGAAUAUUGCACAAUGGGCGAAAGCCUGAUGCAGCGACGCCGCGUGAGGGAUGACGGCCUUCGGGUUGUAAACCUCUUUCAGCAGGGACGAAGCGCAAGUGACGGUACCUGCAGAAGAAGCACCGGCUAACUACGUGCCAGCAGCCGCGGUAAUACGUAGGGUGCAAGCGUUGUCCGGAAUUACUGGGCGUAAAGAGUUCGUAGGCGGUUUGUCGCGUCGUUUGUGAAAACCAGCAGCUCAACUGCUGGCUUGCAGGCGAUACGGGCAGACUUGAGUACUGCAGGGGAGACUGGAAUUCCUGGUGUAGCGGUGAAAUGCGCAGAUAUCAGGAGGAACACCGGUGGCGAAGGCGGGUCUCUGGGCAGUAACUGACGCUGAGGAACGAAAGCGUGGGUAGCGAACAGGAUUAGAUACCCUGGUAGUCCACGCCGUAAACGGUGGGCGCUAGGUGUGGGUUCCUUCCACGGAAUCCGUGCCGUAGCUAACGCAUUAAGCGCCCCG
rnacentral:rRNA from 1 species